GCCAUUUGUGUUCUUAUUGCUCACAGUAGUACACUGGAAUCCAGCAGCUCAUUCUUACCCUCUCCAUAUUGUUGAAGUUUUUUACCUGAAAGAAUACAUGAAGGGAAGACAGCAGGAAAACCAGGAUUAUUUAAAAACACAGUGCAGUCUGAAAGUAGAAGGAAAGUCAGAUUCGUGGUGUGGAUCCUGGGGACAGAAGUUGCAGUGGCAAGUCCUGAAAUAAGCCUUCUCUUUUUUCAGGAGGGAGCCACUAUCCCAGCAGAACCUUGAGAAGAGUACGUACUUCAAGGUGUAGAUUUUUCCCAUCUUCGCAUUCAGUUUAGACACACUGCUUCAUGGAUUCAGGACGUGAGUCAUCACAUGCACCUGGCACGGUUUAUUUUUAGGACAGCAAAGCAACUAAAGCUUCUGCCAAAUAUUUCCUUGAGUCUUCGGAGCCUUUUCUGUUGUUCAUCUGCUGCAUGUUAAUUUUCAGUCCCUAAACAACGUGCAGAGUCACAUCUACAAAUAUGAAGACACUGCCCAAUAUUCUUAAUAAUUAUUGUUUCACUUCCAAAGAAAGGUGUUAUCUUCAUGCUAGCGUAUAUAUAAUGUGAAACUUUAGAGCAGAAGUUAUUGGCUGAAAGCAUAUGACAAAACUUGAUACUUAUGUAGUCAUAGUCUCUCUUCUGGAAAGCAGUUCAAAAUCUCAGUGUUUCACAACCCAUUUGAGAUCUGGUAUUUUGUCCUGUUUCUGUGCUGGGCACUUAAGAUGCCUUAAUGUAGAAUUUAUUACAAACUUAAUAUGAGCAUUUUUCAUUCACUUUUAUUCUAUAAAGAAUAAACAUAGUUAAAAAUACUACAGGAACUACUAUGCUCAUUCUCCCAUAAGCAUUUCAGAACAGGUAUGUGUAAAUUAUUCAGGAGAUCAUAGACUCAUAGAAUGGUUUGGGUUGGAAGAGACCUUUAUGAUCAUUUAGUUCCAACCCCCUAAUUUGUCUCACUUUGGCCUCAGCUAAGGAUAAAGCCUGAAUGUUGUGGUAAUGUUGAUUUCAUCCAUUCCUCGUUAAAGCCUUUUAUGUCUACAAACGUGCUCAAGUCCGCUCCUGUAUCACUUCUUUGAGUUCCUUGGAAAUUCAGUAUGCAUCAUGGUCUUCAGUAAGAAGAAAGCCUGUAAGGAAAUAGCUACAUCAAAUCACAAAACUGCUGGUCUGGUCUUGGAGAAAGCAGGUUAAGCUCUUAGGAGACUUUUAUGAUCAUAUGAGCAAAGGAUGGAGCAGAGGAAGAUAUUUGCUUCUUGCCUCAAACAGAUUGUCAAGCCCGAUGUGAGAAAUGUUAGGAACAAAAUAAAAAUGGUGCCAUUUGUGAGGGUGAUGGAAAGGUCUUGGUGAUGUUAUCAAGGUUACCAAAACCAAUGUGCUUUCCUUUAUGUGUAUUCUUCCUAUAUAGCUGCAGCUGCCCAUCUCACACAAAUCCUGUAAUCAUUGCCAUAGAAUUUCAAGUAUAAUAUCAAGCUGUUAUCCACUGAGCAUUAAUAUCAAAAGCAAUGUAAUUGUGUGCUGCUUCAUCAGUGGAUGAUCGCACAAUGCUGACCACAGAAUGUGAUUAUGAACCUAUGUUCUUGCUGCACAGCUGCUGUUUGAAUCAAAUAAUACUUUCCAGGAGUUGUUUGUAAAAGCUUGAGAUUUCACAUUAGUAGAAAUGGAACAUUAAUAAUAAAAUCAUUAAGAA
rnacentral:lncRNA from 7 species